rnacentral:rRNA from 1 species
UGGUUAUGCUAAUAAGAGCGUAUGGUGGAUGCCUUGGCACUAAGAGCCGAUGAAAGACGUGAUAAGCUGCGA